rnacentral:tRNA from 1 species
GGCCCCGUCGUCUAGAGGCCUAGGACGCCGCCCUCUCAAGGCGGUAGCGCGGGUUCAAAUCCCGUCGGGGCUA